CAUUUUUUACAUUUUUUUUUUUAUUUGAAAAUUUUGAAAAUGACACUAAUUCAAUACCAAAUUACGGCACUAUUUACAUUGGUUCAUCACUAGCCAAGUUACUAAAAAAAAAUAUACGACUAAAAGCCGUACACCACAGUCUUAUUGAGUUUUAUUAUCGAAGUUGAAAUAAAAUAUUGUUUCCCCGAUCGGUUUAACAAUUAUGAAGUUUAUCAGCUUUUAAAUAAGUAUAAAAACGUACCUACCUGAGAGCCGCGCCACACAUAGCGGUUGAAACGCGCGCGGUUGAAAUGUGGUGUUUCAACCGCCAUGACUAAUUGCAACCACACUAGGCGUUUCGACGCGCUAUACAAAUAAAAAUAGAUUAUAUGACGACUUGGAUGUUGUCGUGGCACUUUAGUAGAACGAAAAGAGUGGUUCUAACUCAUAAGCUUGUGUAUGACCAUGUGCAAGAGCUGUACCUAUAACAUGGCAGCCC